rnacentral:lncRNA from 1 species
CUCAGGCCCCCAGUACCACCGCCAGGUCCAUUGCCACCCAGUCUCCCACCUGUUACAGGACCACCACCUCCACUUCCUCCUUUGCAGCCAUCUGGCAUGGAUGCUCCUCCAAACUCUGCAACCAGUUCUGUUCCUACUGUAGUAACAACUGGCAUUCAUCACCAGCCUCCUCCUGCUCCACCCUCUCUUUUUACUGCAGAUACAUAUGACACAGAUGGCUACAAUCCUGAAGCCCCAAGCAUAACAAACACUUCCAGACCUAUGUAUAGACACAGAGUGCAUGCACAAAGGCCCAACUUGAUAGGACUAACAUCAGGGGAUAUGGAUUUGCCACCCAGAGAAAAGCCUCCCAAUAAAAGCAGUAUGAGGAUAGUAGUGGACUCAGAAUCAAGGAAAAGAACCAUUGGUUCUGGAGAGCCUGGAGUUCCUACAAAGAAGACUUGGUUUGAUAAACCAAAUUUUAAUAGAACAAACAGCCCAGGCUUUCAGAAGAAGGUUCAAUUUGGAAAUGAAAAUACCAAGCUUGAACUUAGAAAAGUUCCUCCAGAAUUAAAUAAUAUCAGCAAACUUAAUGAACAUUUUAGUCGAUUUGGAACCUUGGUUAACUUACAGGUUGCUUAUAAUGGUGAUCCUGAAGGUGCCCUAAUCCAAUUUGCAACAUACG